AACGAACGCUGGCGGCAUGCCUAACACAUGCAAGUCGAACGAGACCUUCGGGUCUAGUGGCGCACGGGUGCGUAACGCGUGGGAACCUGCCCUAGGUUCUGAAUAACUCCCCGAAAGGGGUGCUAAUACCGGAUAAUGUCUUCGGACCAAAGAUUUAUCGCCUUUGGAUGGGCCCGCGUUGGAUUAGCUAGUUGGUAGGGUAAAAGCCUACCAAGGCGACGAUCCAUAGCUGGUCUGAGAGGAUGAUCAGCCACACUGGGACUGAGACACGGCCCAGACUCCUACGGGAGGCAGCAGUGGGGAAUAUUGGACAAUGGGCGAAAGCCUGAUCCAGCAAUGCCGCGUGAGUGAUGAAGGCCUUAGGGUUGUAAAGCUCUUUUACCCGGGAUGAUAAUGACAGUACCGGGAGAAUAAGCUCCGGCUAACUCCGUG
rnacentral:rRNA from 1 species